UACGGGGGGGGCAAGCGUUGUUCGGAAUUACUGGGCGUAAAGGGCUCGUAGGCGGCCAACUAAGUCCGACGUGAAAUCCCCAGGCUUAACCUGGGAACUGCGUCGGAUACUGGAUGGCUUGAAUCCGGGAGAGGGAUGCGGAAUUCCAGGUGUAGCGGUGAAAUGCGUAGAUAUCUGGAGGAACACCGGUGGCGAAGGCGGCAUCCUAGACCGGCAUUGACGCUGAGGAGCGAAAGCCAGGGGAGCAAACGGG
rnacentral:rRNA from 1 species